UGAGGAAUAUUGGUCAAUGGACGCAAGUCUGAACCAGCCAUGCCGCGUGCAGGAUGACGGCUCUAUGAGUUGUAAACUGCUUUUGUAUGAGGGUAAUAUCAGGUACGUGUACCUGCUUGAAAGUAUCAUACGAAUAAGGAUCGGCUAACUCCGUGCCAGCAGCCGCGGUAAUACGGAGGAUCCAAGCGUUAUCCGGAUUUAUUGGGUUUAAAGGGUGCGUAGGCGGUUUUAUAAGUUAGAGGUUAAAUGUCAGGGCUCAACUCUGGCCUGCCUCUAAUACUGUAGGACUAGAGAGUAGAUGCGGUAGGCGGAAUGUAUGGUGUAGCGGUGAAAUGCGUAGAGAUCAUACAGAACACCGAUUGCGAAGGCAGCUUACCAAACUAUAUCUGACGUUGAGGCACGAAAGCGUGGGUAGCAAACAGG
rnacentral:rRNA from 2 species